UUUCCAGACUCCUACGGGAGGCAGCAGUGAGGAAUAUUGGUCAAUGGGCGGGAGCCUGGACCAGCCAAGUCGCGUGAGGGAAGACGGUCCUAUGGAUUGUAAACCUCUUUUGUCGGGGAGCAAAGAGGCCACGUGUGGUCAAAAGCGAGAGUACCCGAAGAAAAAGCAUCGGCUAACUCCGUGCCAGCAGCCGCGGUAAUACGGAGGAUGCGAGCGUUAUCCGGAUUUAUUGGGUUUAAAGGGUGCGUAGGCGGGACGGUAAGUCAGCGGUAAAAUUGAGAGGCUCAACCUCUUCGAGCCGUUGAAACUGGUUUUCUUGAGUGAGUGAGAAGUAUGCGGAAUGCGUGGUGUAGCGGUGAAAUGCAUAGAUAUCACGCAGAACUCCGAUUGCGAAGGCAGCAUACCGGCGCUCAACUGACGCUCAUGCACGAAAGUGUGGGUAUCGAACAGGAUUAGAUACCCGAGUAAUA
rnacentral:rRNA from 1 species